CACAAUUAAUGGCAAAGUAGGCAACGGCGGGUACGUGGUGUUACUUGGUAAUUUGGGGGGCUUCAGGCUUGGCUUGGGGUGAGUAGAGAGAGAGAGAGAGAGAGAGAUUAGAAAUUUAGAGCUCCGCGCAAGAAAGAAAGGGAGAAAGUAUAAAAUUUAGUGAAAUUUUGCGCUUUUGUUUAUCUAUUAGGUUUGUUUUUAUGAACCAACAAUAUUGGCUCAAUUUUAACUCAACUCAUAUUACUAAUUCAGCCUAUAUAUAAUUAAAAUAUAUUAUAUUUAUAUAUUUUUUAAUAUAUAUAUAUAUAUAUAUAUNAUAUUUUUUAAUAUAUAUAUAUUCGAGCUUUUCGAGCCUAAUUCGAGCAAGCCGAGUAACAUUCAAGUUAGGCUUGAAAUGAAUUUCGAGCUUUUUCUUUUGUUCAAGCUCGGCUCAU
rnacentral:lncRNA from 1 species